rnacentral:rRNA from 1 species
AUUGAACGCUGGCGGCAUGCCUAACACAUGCAAGUCGAACGAGUGGCGGACGGGUGAGUAAUGUCUGGGAAACUGCCUGAUGGCGGGGGAUAACUACUGGAAACAGUAGCUAAUACCGCAUACCAUCAGAGGUGCCCAGAUGGGAUUAGCUAGUUGGUGGGGUAACGGCUCACCAAGGCGACGAUCCCUAGCUGGUCUGAGAGGAUGACCAGCCACACUGGAACUGAGACACGGCCCAGACUCCUACGGGAGGCAGCAGUGGGGAAUAUUGCACAAUGGGCGCAAGCCUGAUGCAGCCAUGCCGCGUGUAUGAAGAAGGCCUUCGGGUUGUAAAGUACUUUCAGUGGGGAGGCGGUACCUGCAGAAGAAGCACCGGCUAACUCCGUGCCAGCAGCCGCGGUAAUUC